CGGGACGUGGCGCAGUUUGGUAGCGCACUGCUUUGGGAGCAGGGGGUCGCAGGUUCAAAUCCUGUCGUCCCGA
rnacentral:tRNA from 1 species